GUCAUUCCGACCAUAACAAUUGAUAAAAAAGACAAAGUUAUCCAGUAUAUCGACUUUGUGUUUCGAGGAAGUGGGCGUUUCCAGCCGUUUAAAUACCGAAGCCCCGCCCACUCCGCUAGUUAGUGUUGUGUUAGCUGACAUCUUUUACGAGCUCCCGCCAGACCAGAGCCUCGUGUAACACCUGGACUAAAUCCUGGAGGAAGGGAUUGAGAGUUGUUGGAACAGCUUGAUCAGCCACGCCAGGGUGAAAGAUGGGGCAGCCCUCCGUGUCAGGGAUCCUGAGCUGGCAGAGGCCGACCCUGGUGCGGGGAUGGACUAUCCACAACUUCGCCCGGACUAUCAAGAGUCGACCGGCCCAAGAUCACUAGCAGUCCUCCAGCCCCGGCCCCUGUCCUGAUGAUGUAAUUAUUUCCCAGCGGCACCUGGGAGCCACGGCCGCCAUUCGGAGGCAUCGCUCACAGCCAAGUAUACAGAUGUUUCUAAUUGCUUUCCAUUACCAAGAAUAACAGCUGUUUAUAUCUAUCAGCAAAUAAUUCACAAGAGUUCCAGACUGUUAGGAUAACAUAUCCCACCUGGUCACCAUCACCAGUUGUCAACAGCCGAGCGCCGUGCUUGCCAGGCCUCUUGUUUACCGAAUCCCCCGAUAAGCUCAGGCUUAGAGUCACCUUCAGCCAUCUUGCUUUGCACCUCCCAGGAUUCUUUGCAUUAUCUUACAACUCAAUCAUCGCAAAGAUGGAAGGGGAAAUUACAUUUUGUCGUUUUGAUACCCUGCACUGUUACUAUGCCCAGCUGCAUCAAAGAGGCAGGAACUUCACAUUUUAACAUUUAAAGUAUUUACCAACAAUGAAUCCAAUUACUUGAUGUUAAGUGGAAAGGUUUUAUCUCCUCUUCACCUGCAUUGUUUUGGUUUUUACGGCACAGUUUCAAUGCACAUUUAACAAGCUCUGAUAUCCCGUGGUACGCUAACUUUCCAUCACUACACGCAGACAGAUGAAGUUAGC